UACGAAGGGGGCUAGCGUUGCUCGGAAUGACUGGGCGUAAAGGGCGCGUAGGCGGCGAUCACAGUCAGAUGUGAAAUUCCUGGGCUUAACCUGGGGGCUGCAUUUGAUACGUGGUUGCUUGAGUGGGGAAGAGGGUCGUGGAAUUCCCAGUGUAGAGGUGAAAUUCGUAGAUAUUGGGAAGAACACCAGUGGCGAAGGCGGCUCACUGGCCCGUAACUGACGCUGAGGUGCGAAAGCGUGGGGAGCAAACAGG
rnacentral:rRNA from 1 species